GAAAACCCCGCUCCACACUCGGUGUCUUAAGCUUGUCAACAACACAGAUUACUCCAGAGCCUGAAGGAAUGCGGUGCACUUGUGCAUCGGAGAAGGAUUGAAGAAACGCUCCACACUCUGUGUCUUAAGCCUGUCAACAACACAGAUUACUGUAUGCUGUCUGUAGGUGGAUGCUUAUGAAGCAAAAAAUCAAGAAUUGGUGGCGGAGAACGCUGAUUUGAGGGCAUUAUUACGCUCAAUGCAGGUUGAUAUGCGUGCAUUCUUAAAUGCUCCAAAUGGGAAGCAGUCUUCUCCAGUCAAUACGAGGGUGGAUUCUGACCUGUCCCAUUCCCCGUUGGGUGGAAGGACGGACAUGUUUGAUCUGCCUCUUCACAUGGCCAGAGAUCAAAUUGAAGAAAGUCUCCGAACCAAGAUGGCUUCAAUAAAGGAGCGCAUGGUUCAGCUUCAAGAUGCACAGAAGGCUGCAGAACUAACUUCUGAGGUGUCAGAGAGAGAACUUGAGCUGGAAGCUCAGCUUGUCGAAGCAAGGAGCAUAAUUCAAGAGCAGGUUUCAGUAGCCAGGACUUGCAAUUGUAUAUAUGCGUUGUUGCAGCAGAGACAGAGGGAUGUUGAGUUUAGGGAGUCAGCCAAUGAGCAGAGGCAAAGACUCUUAUCAGACAUUUCAAGACUGGAAGCUAAAGUUGAGAGGUUGGAAGCGCAGUUAUCCGCGAAAGAUAGAGAGAUAGCCACAAUGACUAGAACGGAAGCUAAAGCUACAGCUGCUUUCAAGUCACAAAUUGAUAAGUUGCAGCAGGAGCGAGAUGAAUUUCAGAAGAUGGUUUUGGGUAAUCAGCAAGUAAGAACUCAGCAGAUUCAUGAGAUGAAGAAGAAAGAAAAAGAGUAUAUAAAGUUGCAGGAGCGGCUUAACCAAGUAUUAAUGGAGAAAAAGAAGGAAUCUAGGUCAGGCAUGGAAAUUAUGAAUUUACUACAGAAAGAAGGCCGGCGGCGUGGGACCUGGAACGGAAGGAAGACUGACAAUGAUUUCUACAAAAAGAUUGUGGAUGCUUAUGAAGCAAAAAAUCAAGAAUUGGUGGCGGAGAACGCUGAUUUGAGGGCAUUAUUACGCUCAAUGCAGGUUGAUAUGCGUGCAUUCUUAAAUGCUCCAAAUGGGAAGCAGUCUUCUCCAGUCAAUACGAGGGUGGAUUCUGACCUGUCCCAUUCCCCGUUGGGUGGAAGGACGGACAUGUUUGAUCUGCCUCUUCACAUGGCCAGAGAUCAAAUUGAAGAAAGUCUCCGAACCAAGAUGGCUUCAAUAAAGGAGCGCAUGGUUCAGCUUCAAGAUGCACAGAAGGCUGCAGAACUAACUUCUGAGGUGUCAGAGAGAGAACUUGAGCUGGAAGCUCAGCUUGUCGAAGCAAGGAGCAUAAUUCAAGAGCAGAUUGCCACCUUAAUAGAGAUUGUUGAUCAAUGCUAUGAGUUUUUGAUAAGGAGUUGAAGCGGUCGGAGGUUGCUCUUGAAGAGGAAAAGAAGGAGCUUGCUCGUUAUUAGGAGCAACUCAAGGAAGUAACUGAGGGUCAAAGCAAAUGUAAGGAUCACUACAAUUGCGAGGUCACUUUCGAUCAGGGCUUGUUCAAGUUAGAGGCUGGAAUAAUUUAUUUGGAAUAUGUUCAAAGCAACUUCAAAGAGAAGUAUGAGGAUUUCGAGAAGUUUGAAGGUGCCGUGGUGGUGUGGUUUCAUGUUCUUUUGAUUUUCGGGUGACCGAUGAGGAUGUCGCCGAGGAAGGGGAAAUGGAAGUUGUGGAUGAGCCACUUGCUGAGGGUGCUCGUGCUGAUGCUGAGGUCGAUGGGGGCGAUCGAGCUUGACGUAUCUUAUAGCUUUCUUA